rnacentral:rRNA from 1 species
UCCUGACUGACCGAUAGUGAACCAGUACCGUGAGGGAAAGGCGAAAAGAACCCCGGCGAGGGGAGUGAAAAAGAACCUGAAACCGUGUACGUACAAGCAGUGGGAGCACGCUUAGGCGUGUGACUGCGUACCUUUUGUAUAAUGGGUCAGCGACUUAUAUUCUGUAGCAAGGUUAACCGAAUAGGGGAGCCGAAGGGAAACCGAGUCUUAACUGGGCGUUAAGUUGCAGGGUAUAGACCCGAAACCCGGUGAUCUAGCCAUGGGCAGGUUGAAGGUUGGGUAACACUAACUGGAGGACCGAACCGACUAAUGUUGAAAAAUUAGCGGAUGACUUGUGGCUGGGGGUGAAAGGCCAAUCAAACCGGGAGAUAGCUGGUUCUCCCCGAAAGCUAUUUAGGUAGCGCCUCGUGAAUUCAUCUCCGGGGGUAGAGCACUGUUUCGGCAAGGGG